UAAACUUACAGGGAGAGGAGCUGAGGAAAUUGAUUGCAUCUCCAUCUUAUGUUGAAUGUAGUUCAAAAACACAAGAGAAUGUGAAAGCAGUUUUUGAUGCUGCGAUUAAAGUUGUUCUCCAGCCACCCAAGCAAAAGAAAAAGAAGGGAAAGGCUCAAAAAGCCUGUUCGAUAUUGUGAUCAGCUUAAGGUGAAGAUAUACGUUCCAUGCCAUCUACAUCCUUUUUUUUCUCUUCCUUUUGCGUAAGAAGUAGGAAAUCGCCUUGUAUUCGUGUGCCCAAAGUACUACUGAUCUAUGUGAAAGUGCAUGUGGCUUCAAUCUGCAUUGUGCUUUUGGUUUUUGAAUUGCUAGGUCGCACUUUUAGGCCACUUCAUUGUGCCCUGCCUGUUUUCCUUCGUUUUUGUUUAUGUAUCGAUCAGACAUAAAACUAUGAUGUUCGCUAGUAUGAAGGCUUCUUUAAUCCUUUCUUCUA